UACGUAGGGUGCGAGCGUUGUCCGGAAUUACUGGGCGUAAAGAGCUCGUAGGUGGUUUGUCGCGUUGUUCGUGAAAACUCACAACUCAAUUGUGGGCGUGCGGGCGAUACGGGCAGACUGGAGUACUGCAGGGGAGACUGGAAUUCCUGGUGUAGCGGUGGAAUGCGCAGAUAUCAGGAGGAACACCAGUGGCGAAGGCGGUUGCCUGGGGCUUUGCUGACGCUGAGGCGCGAAAGCGUGGGUAGCAAACAGG
rnacentral:rRNA from 1 species